AGGCUUCUGUAACAGAAAGUUCAGAUUCCACUGGUCCCAGGACUCUUCAGAGCAUUUAAGCUUUUAAUUUAAGCAUUUCUGGCUUGAUUCCAGGCUCAGCAGCGAGCAGCCGCAGUGUGGGAGCUCUCUAUUGCAGAAGCAAGGGAAAACUUCUGAAAAAGCUGAGAGUGGUGGCUUUGUUUUGUUUUCGGUUCUGUUUGGUAUUUCAUCUAACUGUCAGGAGAGCUGUGGUUUUGUUUUCAUGGCAGACUUUGUCUUCAUAAUGCCCCUGAGCACAGGGCAGCAGGUGAAGGCUGGGAGGUGCACGUUGCAGGCGGCUCUGCUCCUUUCCCUCAGCAGAGAUAGGAGUGAGUUUUAAUCAAGCACUGCUUUCAUCAACACCUGCUAAACUCUAAGCAGAAUAAGUGGUGCCUGUAUUAGGAGAAUAAGCUGCCAUAUUCCAGUCCAUUCCAUGUGGGAAAAUGAGCCUGAUGCUGCCUCUGCCUGUGACCUGAAAAUUCACCGUCAUAUGCCUGUUCCAUGGCUGGAUGAAGAACACCUUGGCACAGGUAUACAUCAUAUACAUGUCUAAUGCAAUUUACUGCAGUAUAUUUAUCACAUUAUGGAAGAGUGUUAUCUUCAUCAAUUACAAGCUAAAAAGGGAAUUAAUAAGGGGAUAAAAGCUAAAUUUGUAUUUCAGUGGACUCUGGAAGGCCUAUCUCCAUGGGAAAGCUGUAUGUAAAUCUGCAGUGUUUCAUCUGGCUUAUGUUAAGUCCUACGUUUGGAUUUCAAUUCUAUGGGGAGAAGUUGCAGCCCUGAGAGCAGCUGUGGAAAGCACAGGUGCUGUGCUACUGCUGGCCCAUCCUGCUCCUAAAACAGAACCCUGCACCAUCUCUCAGUUCUUUCAUCUGUGAAAGGAGGUAAGAGGAUUGCUGUACCUCAAAGACAUGAAGUUUAGAUAAUUACAAGUGGGAGACACUGAAAUAUUACACCAGCAAAAAUACCUCAGAUGAAGAAUUGUUGCUCUUUCAAGGCUAAUAUGAUUUUCUCCAGGUUGUCCUGCUCAGUGAAUUCUAAAGGGCAGGGAUAUGGUUUUCUUAAACUCUGUGGAAUGAUGCUGGAUUUCUCUUUGUUGGCUUUUAUUUUCUAUGACAGUCCAUAGGGUUUUUCCUCAAGGGAUUUAAGUACCUUUAUAGACCUUGCUCACGACAUCCUUCUUCUUCCCAUUCCUUCUCUUUUGAACUUAGAUAUACACUUCAUUCUGACAAGUAGCAGGAAAAAAAAAUCUAUCUGAUCUGUUACCAGUUUUAUGUAAUUUAGAAUGCAGGGUUACACUGGACUAUUUUCUGUGGAGAAAAAAGAGGUGAAUCAUCCUGAGGUGGGUGCAAUCCCUUCAAGAUCUUGAGUCCUAAAAUGACAAGUUACUGUGGGCAAGCUGAACCACUUAGCUCCCAAGUCCUUCCCAAUCAUAAUUUAUAACAAAGAAGGAUAUUUCCUUAGGUUAAUGUUUCAGCUACUUCUCAUCUUUUGUGCCACUUUUCUGAAAUCUUUUUUGGGUACGAGUUGAUGCUGCACAUCAGAUUUCUCUUUUGCAUUCAAUGAGGGCCCAGUCAUUCUAACAAACUUCAAAAGGGAUUUCAUAUUCUAUGAAAUGCUUCACAUUUCUUUUUAUCAAAGUCUGAUUUUUUUUCCCAGGGUUGUACAAGCUCACACUACCUACCGAGUCUGUCUGUCUGCAUCACUUUCAUGUGUUUGUGAAUUGCUAAUGAAGCUACGUGGGCCUCAAAGCUUGCAAAGGGUUCCCCUCCACUGGGUUUGUACAACCUGAAUUAAUUCUCCUCUAGAAAUCCCAAAGUGCUUUGCCCCUUUUGCCCAUGCUUAAAAGAAAAGGAUUCCCUUGGCUGUGAGGGUGAGCUCGUAGAAGCCCAGCAACAACACUGUCAACCAAAGGUUAUCGUUUUUGCUUUGCAAAUUAUUGAUAGGAAAACAGAAGACGCAAAAUCCAGGGACAUGUUCUCAGCUGAAAAUCCUAUUUUUGCUCUGCUGUUGCUGAGUAGCCUUGACUACUUCUGCUUGCAAUGUGAUAUCCCAUAACUUCCAUACCUGACUGCAAAAUUGCUGAAAACCCCAAAUGUGCAGCUUUACUUACA